rnacentral:rRNA from 1 species
AUUGAACGCUGGCGGCAGGCUUAACACAUGCAAGUCGAGCGGAAACGAUACCAGCUUGCUGGUAGGCGUCGAGCGGCGGACGGGUGAGUAACACUUAGGAAUCUACCUAGUAGUAGGGGAUAGCUCGGGGAAACUCGAAUUAAUACCGCAUACGACCUACGGGAGAAAGGGGGCAGUUUACUGCUCUCGCUAUUAGAUGAGCCUAAGUCGGAUUAGCUAGAUGGUGGGGUAAAGGCCUACCAUGGCGACGAUCUGUAGCUGGUCUGAGAGGAUGAUCAGCCACACCGGGACUGAGACACGGCCCGGACUCCUACGGGAGGCAGCAGUGGGGAAUAUUGGACAAUGGGGGCAACCCUGAUCCAGCCAUGCCGCGUGUGUGAAGAAGGCCUUUUGGUUGUAAAGCACUUUAAGCAGUGAAGAAAACCAUAUGGUUAAUACCCAUAUGCGAUGACAUUAGCUGCAGAAUAAGCACCGGCUAACUCUGUGCCAGCAGCCGCGGUAAUACAGAGGGUGCAAGCGUUAAUCGGAAUUACUGGGCGUAAAGCGAGCGUAGGUGGCUUGAUAAGUCAGAUGUGAAAUCCCCGGGCUUAACCUGGGAACUGCAUCUGAUACUGUUAAGCUAGAGUAGGUGAGAGGGAAGUAGAAUUCCAGGUGUAGCGGUGAAAUGCGUAGAGAUCUGGAGGAAUACCGAUGGCGAAGGCAGCUUCCUGGCAUCAUACUGACACUGAGGCUCGAAAGCGUGGGUAGCAAACAGG